CAAGUGCUUUGGCAUUUGUGGAGUGGCCGUUGGGAUACCAUCCUUGCGAUAUUGGAAUUCUAACCUGCGCCUUUGAAUCAAGGCGGGGGACAUUGUUAGGUGGGCAGUUUGACUGGGGCGGUCGCCUCCUAAAGAGUAACGGAGGCGUUCAAAGGUUCGCUCAGCUUGAACGGAAAUCAAGCAAAAGAGUGCAAACGCAGAAGCGAGCCUAACUGCGAGACUGACGGGUCGAGCAGUAACGAAAGUUGGAGUUAGUGAUCCGGUGGUAUGUGAGUGGAAAUGCCAUCGCUCAACGGAUAAAAGUUACCCUGGGGAUAACAGGCUGAUCUCCCCCAAGAGUCCACAUCGACGGGGAGGUUUGGCACCUCGAUGUCGGCUCAUCGCAUCCUGGGGCUGUAUUCGGUCCCAAGGGUUUGGCUGUUCGCCAAUUAAAGCGGUACGCGAGCUGGGUUCAGAACGUCGUGAGACAGUUCGGUCCCUAUCUGUCGUGGGCGCAGGAUAUUUGAUGGGAGCUGUUCCUAGUACGAGAGGACCGGAGCGGACGUACCUCUGGCGCACCAGUUGUUCUGCCAAGGGCAUAGCUGGGCAACUAUGUACGGAUCGGAUAAACGCUGAAAGCAUCUAAGCGUGAAGCCGACCCAAAGAUAAGAUAUCCCAUUGUUU
rnacentral:rRNA from 1 species